CAAGGACAGAGUCCACCCCAUCACUGUGCUUCGACGAUUGCCCAACAUAAGAUCUGCCACAGCUGAACGGAAUCUGGUAUACCACUGCUGUUUUGCAAGACCUGUAAUGGUGGCUGUGUUUCAUCUGGCAGCUGUUCUUACUCUGCGUAGUGCCGGACUCCACCAUCUUUCGGAGUCGUGGGCACAACUUUGACAGCUUGUUGGGUGCUGUAAACACCGAGGUUACACCGUAUCUCGCUGCUACAUUCUUCAAGCCAUGGGACAACCUAUGAACAUAUGGGAGAACUGCAAGCUUCCUUUUUUCAUUUUGUAACCUUCUGGGAAUUCUUUCCGUGCCUUUUAUCACUGGGAUGAGUUUUUUGCACAUAGUGUUCAGCAAA
rnacentral:lncRNA from 1 species